UGUGUCUUUGUCCCCUAAAGCUCAUCUGUUUGUUUCUUUGUCCCCCAGUCCCCGUCACUUCUGUUACUUUGCCCCACAAAACCUUGUUAUGUGUUAUUUUGCCCCCUCCCCCCCCCCGUGUAUCUCUUUGACCUCCUCCUAUGUGUCUUUUUGUUCCCCUGUGUCUCUUUGCCUCCCCUCCCCCCCUUUUGCUGUCUUAUUUCUACAGUGCCAGCUUAUCUGCUUGUAGCGUGGUCAAGUGGACUGUGAUGGAGAAUCUUCUGUAUCCUCUACUCUGUCUGGGGACAUUUCCUUUCAGACUGGGUAGAGGAUAAAGAAGAUUCUCUACUGCAGAGCACUUGGCCACACUAAAUGUAGUGACUGGCAGGAGUGAAUUGCGCCCCCAGAGCCAGUGCACCCUAAGCAUCUGCCUCGUUCGUCGAUCAGUAGUGCCAAUCCUACACUGAGACACACUGGCUGUGCGUGGGCGGGAGAGAUACACACUUGCUCUGAUUGGACGGGAGAGACAGUGGCGUACAUACCAGGGUCGCAGGGGUCGCGGCUGCGACCGGGCCCGGCCCACCAGGGGGCCCGGCCGCCCCUGCGACCCGGUAUGUACGCCCAGGGCCAGCCUCUUCCCCUGGGGGGCCCAGGAGCCGACCACCCCAGGGCCCCCCGAGGCUGGCCCUG